GACGGAGGAGGCAAGCGUUAUCCGGAAGUAUUGGGCGUAAAGCGUCCGCAGGUGGCGAUUCAUGUCUGCUGUCAAAGGUCGGGUCUUAACCCCGGGAAGGCAGUGGAAACUGAAUAGCUAGAGUGCGGUAGGUGCAGAGGGAAUUCACGGUGUAUCGGUGAAAUGCGUAGAGUUCGGGAAGAACAUCAGAGGCGAAAGCGCUCUGCUGGGCCUGCACUGACACUGAGGGACGAAAGCUAGUUGCGCGACAAGG
rnacentral:rRNA from 1 species